AUUGAACGCUGGCGGCAUGCCUUACACAUGCAAGUCGAACGGCAGCACGGGAGCAAUCCUGGUGGCGAGUGGCGAACGGGUGAGUAAAGUAUCGGAACGUGCCCAGUCGUGGGGGAUAACGUAGCGAAAGUUACGCUAAUACCGCAUACGAUCUAUGGAUGAAAGCGGGGGAUCGCAAGACCUCGCGCGAUUGGAGCGGCCGAUAUCAGAUUAGGUAGUUGGUGGGGUAAAGGCUCACCAAGCCGACGAUCUGUAGCUGGUCUGAGAGGACGACCAGCCACACUGGGACUGAGACACGGCCCAGACUCCUACGGGAGGCAGCAGUGGGGAAUUUUGGACAAUGGGCGAAAGCCUGAUCCAGCCAGGCCGCGUGCAGGAUGAAGGCCUUCGGGUUGUAAACUGCUUUUGUACGGAACGAAAAGGUUUGGCCUAAUAAGCUGAGCUCAUGACGGUACCUUGCGUGAAAGCCACGGCUAACUACGUGCCAGCCGCCGCCGUAA
rnacentral:rRNA from 1 species